GUGGCCCAGUGGGAGAGUGCCUGCCUUGCAAGCAGAACGGUCCUGGGCUCAAUCCCCAAUGGCA